GAUGAACGCUAGCGGGAGGCCUAACACAUGCAAGCCGAGCGGUAUUGUUUCUUCGGAAAUGAGAGAGCGGCGUACGGGUGCGUAACACGUGUGCAACCUGCCUUUAUCUGGGGGAUAGCCUUUCGAAAGGAAGAUUAAUACUCCAUAAUAUAUUGAACGGCAUCGUUUAAUAUUGAAAGCUCCGGCGGAUAGAGAUGGGCACGCGCAAGAUUAGCUAGUUGGUGAGGUAACGGCUCACCAAGGCGAUGAUCUUUAGGGGGCCUGAGAGGGUGAUCCCCCACACGGGUACUGAGACACGGACCAGACUCCUACGGGAGGCAGCAGUGAGGAAUAUUGGUCAAUGGGUGCAAGCCUGAACCAGCCAUCCCGCGUGAAGGACGACUGCCCUAUGGGUUGUAAACUUCUUUUGUCUAGGGAUAAACCUACCCUCGUGAGGGUAGCUGAAGGUACUAUACGAAUAAGCACCGGCUAACUCCGUGCCAGCAGCCGCCGUAA
rnacentral:rRNA from 1 species